CGCGGGCCGAGGAGCGUGUGCCGGCGGUGCGGCGGCGGGAGCAGCGCGCGAGGAGCGGCGGGGCCGGCGCACCUGACUGAAUGGAGGAGCAAGUGGACGGGAAGUUCCUGAGCCACACACAGAUCACAUUUAUUACUCUCGCCCUCAGAGACCCGGAGAUCCAAACCGUUCGCAUGGUGCCUUGAAGCAGCCUGUGCUCAUGCGCUUCUCCCAGGGAGAAGCCGGAAUGGCAGUGACUGGCCACGUUAAGCCACAGGGUGCACACUCUGCAGCUGUCAAGCCCAGCUCUGCAUCAGCUCACACCUGUGAUUUUGCGCCGCACACGCGGAUUUGAGUUGUCGCUGGUUGUUGCAGCGUUUGGCUUUGGUGAGGACAGCGUGUGUUUAUCAGCAGUUGGUGUAGGUGGAAUCUUGAGGAGAAAGCGAUAUUUCCGUGCCAGAACUGGUUGGUGUUUGCAUGGUAUUGUGGCGGUUGUUCCCGCAGGCGAUGAGUGCUGGAGUGUUAUUGCAGGAAAGGGGAUUUUGGAGGCUUGUCUGUGAGAUGCACUAGAGGCAGCAGUUGAAAGCGAAAGGCUGAGAUUUGGAGAGUUUGUCGGUGUGUUUUGGGCGGUUGUCAGUUGAAGAGUUGGCUGUUUGCAGGUGAGGUGUAGGGCAGAGGGUGAAGCUGACUUUGCCUGGGCGGCGCAACUGGCUGGGUGUGCAGAGCUGAGGAGAGCGGGCUGCUGCGGGUGACCCUAAAGCUGGAGAACCAGCCGGCAGGUCCAGAGGCUCCCGCUGCCGGGCAGGGCCGUGCAGGCCAGUGCCCUGGGGCACAGCGACGUGACCCUCCGCAAGUACCAAAGAGCAGGUGGAGCAGCGUGCAAAGGAAAAGCAAGGAAGGAGGUGAACCCAUGAGGAAGAGUGAUGGAUAAAGAGGGUUGGAGCGCACCUGCCAGUCAAGAGGGAUCAAGAAAGAAGACACCGGUGGUGGAACUGCAGGUUCAGAGCCCGAGCCUCCUUUGGUUGUAUCUGUAAACAUUAAACAUCUCAGCGCGAACCACAACUGCAUUUCUCACAGACAGAAGUGCCUGAACUCCACAGCUUGCCUGGCAGUGCAGAGAGCAGGAAGUGUGGUAAGUCCUGGGCCCUUGGGGACAUUUCACCCUGUUUUGUGUCCCAGUCCCUCCCUGCUCCCUCCUCUUUCCUACUGUGCCCUUCUUCCUCUUCAUCUCUUCUCCCUCUGUCCCUCUGCUGCUUCCUCACCUAUUCCUCCACCCUUCUGAAUCUCUGUGCAGGGUUUCUCAUAUCUCCCUCUCCGUCUCCACCCCUCUGUGUUCUCACCAUCCCUGGUUUCUCUUUGUCUUCAUUCUUGUCUGUUGCUCUGUCCUGCUCCGUGCCCCAUCAUUUCUCACUGUAUCCCUCUGUCCUGCUCCCUGCGCCUAUUCCUGCCCCUCUUCUUUUUAACUCCCUCUCCAUCUUGCUGCCCACCCCAGGAUUUUUUCCCAACCUCUAUCCUGCCCCCAACCCUUAUUGUUCUUUCUCCUGCUCCCUCUCUGUCUUUCUGCCUGUCUUCCCUUUCCCUGCUGCUUCUUUCUCCAUCUCUGCCCCUUUUCCUUCUUGAUGUCUUUCUGUCCUGUUUGUCUUUCUGUCUUCCUUGCCUGUUCCCGGCCCCAUCCCCUCUCACUAUAUCUCCCCUGUCCAGCUGGCUCUGCCUUUUCUUUGUCUUCUCUUCCUCUUUCCUGCUCCUCAGCCCUCUUUUCCUCUUCCUCCAGCUCAUUGCUGCAUGUUUUCCGUUUCCAGUAUCUUCAUUUUGAUCUGAACUUUGCUUUGUUUCUCAGUCCCUUUGUUUUGUUCCCUCCCUUUUUGUCUCUCCAUCUGUACAUCCCCCUCCCUGUCUUUCUCUACCCCCUUCCUGCUUCUCCUCCUCCCGACUCCCCAUCCCUCUGUCCUGCUCCUCAGCCCUGCUCUUUCUUCCUCCCUGUCUCAUCACGGCUCCUUGUCCCUUUUUGCCUUGAUCUCUACAUCUUUUUUCCUGUGUGUUUCUUUCUCUCUGGGCUCCUCUGUCUUCUCUCUUGUCUCAUUUGUCUCUUUCUAGUCCUCUGUCCUUCUCCCCAGCAGCUUCAACUGAAUGACCAGGUGUCUGUGCACUCUGGUGUUUCCUCAUGCCUGCCCUGGGGAAGAUCUGUGUCUGUAGGGCUGGGGAUCAUUUAGGAGCUGUUCUCCUUGUGCAGACGGCAGAGCCGGGUGCAGUUGUGGCAGAGGUUGUUCUCAGCUGCUGCUCUGUGCAGCUUGGUUCAAGAGCCAGCUGGGGGCUUCUUUGGAAGGGAGGUUUCUUGUUCUGUGCUUACUGCUCCUCGGGACCCUGCACAGGAGCGCUGUUGGGGUCUGCAGGGACGGGUGGGACCUGCUGUGAUUCCUGGUGAAUGUGAACUCAACUUGUCCUGAUGGCCUCGAAUGAAACCAGACUGACUGUAGAUGGUUUUCUUCCCAGAUCCCAUUCCAACCUCCGUGCUCAGUGCUAAAGAACAAGAGAUCUUGUGCUCUUUUCCAGAUGUCAGUGGCCGCAAAUCAGCUGAGAACAUCCUGCCUUAGGUAACGGGCAGGUGGUCUGUGAUCAGGGGUGUGGACUUGAAUGGCCGUGCUUUCAUGAACGUUUUCUGGUCUUGCCAUUUCACAGCCCUUCCUUCUCCUGGAAAUUUAAGACAGCAUUUCUUAUCCUGAGGUUCAGACGGGAGUUGGACUUACUGUUGAACAGAUGAUAUAAUGUGCUCCCUGAGGAGCACAUCUUGCUUUUUUGUUGUUGUUUUCCAACACCGUCUGAACUUUGGUCAGCAAGAGGAAGAGUGGUGACAGAGUCUGUUAUCUGAGAGUAACGUGUUCCUGUACCUUUCCCGUCGUUCUGUGGUGAAGGAUUCCUUCCCUUGCAGAGAGGACUGCAAGACCCGCUCCUGCCAGGUUGGACUUUGCCUCCAAACGUGGCGCAGCCUCUUCCAUUGUGACAUCAGCCACUGCCACUGACGUCACAAAGCAGCAUGAGCGCUGAGGUCGGCACAGCAGGGGAUAAGACCAGGGGUCUCCCUGCGCCUCGGUCACUCUCGAUCUUGAGAGAACUGAGAUCGCAGAGUUUUUGGCUCACUCCUGAGCGAGCGAGAUGCUUGUUACCUUCACCUCAGCAGGUACCCAGAGACAUCCAGAGAUGGCUGAACGUCUGAACUGGUAUGUUGGGAAUAUUUUCUGCUCCCUUCCCCAGGUGUGUUUUCCACCUUGUCAGCUGGGGUGGGUGGAUGGUGGAAAGGAGAGGAACACGAGGGCAGCCUGAGAGCUGGGUCUGGAGCUGCUGGAAGGCAGCAGCCAUCUUUCGGUCUCUUCAUGAAAUUGAGGGCUGGGCCCAGAAGCCUUUGAUCUCUGCAGAAUGAGGGACAGGUCCAUUUUGGAUGGGACAGAGAGAGUCCCAGGGGUGGCCCAGACACAGCCUGCCGCAGUAAUUGUGAGAACUCAGCUCCGUCCUGUAUUGUGCUCUGCAGGGUGGGUUCUGUCCCUGAGCCUGCUUGGUUUUCCUCUCCACAGGGACCAGAAGGACACCAGCGUGUCCUCUGUUGGCCGUGGGUCUGACUUGUGUUCCUGACAGAGGAGGUUUCCUUGGGAAACCUGGUCAGCUCCUCACCAGGGCUCUGCCUUAAGAAAGGGGCUCAAAGUCCUCAGAGGGGUGCAAGGAGUUCUCUAGGAGAACAAAAGGGAUUGUUUAUUCCUGAUGAGUGUCGCUGUGAGCCUGUUGAGAGCCUCCUGGAACAGACAGGAGGAAUUUCCCCCUUGCAGAGCGGUGUGUAUUGUGUCUUGGCAGAUCAGGCUCAGGGCAGCAGGGCCCAGACAACGGAGUUUCUUUGGUGCUUCCUUGGUUGCCCGUUGCUUGCCAGCACGCAUUGACAUUUAGCCCUCCCUCCCUCUUUCCAGUCUGCAUUUGUCUGCUGUUCUGCCAAGAGAAGGGCCAGAGAUAACCCGGCUGCUAAAGAAACGCUGCGAGAGGGGAGACACACACCCCCCGCCUGGCAGCUGUUGGACUGUAGGGGCACAGGCUGAACCUUCUCUUGAGAGGGUGGAGAACAGGAUCAGCACAAGUGUCCAUUGAAUGCUGGGCAGGAGAAACAGGCGUUUGUUAUGUCCUUCCAUUUCCAGAGAACUCCUCUCCAGCCCCACAGACACGAAGUGUGGACAGAAGUCCUGUUGCAACUCCUGCUCUUAGUCUGGAGUCAAUCUUGAGCCCUUUGUCCCUAAGGAAACAAUCUUUGCCGUGACAAAUCCCCCAGUGGUGCAGCUGGUGACACCUCCAGCAGUGACUGGAGCUGGUGCAGGACCAAGCCAAUGCACACGGCAGGAACGCCAGGCUCAAGGGCUGAGUCCAUGCUGCUGCUCUCCAGUCUGCUGCUGAUCUGCACGGGAACCGCCAGCUUCACCAGCCUUUUCUUUAUCUGCUCUGCAGGGAGAUGAAGGCACUGAAGGCAUCGACCCUGCUGCUGCUUCUCGGUCUCUUCUCUUUCGGUGUUUACCAUGUGCGACAACUCGGCACCUAAACCCUCUGGAGCACUGCACCAGAGAUAGGAGACCUCAGCGCAACCCUGUCCCUGCCCGUCCAGCUCCUUAAGCUCCAGGAACAGCUUUAUCAUCUGCAAAGGAUGUGGCCAAGCGGGCUCUGCAGGAAGGACUGAAGCAGGCAAAGCUCCCAGGCGUUACCGGACGGGGCUCAAGAACCACCUAUCUGCGUGGCAUGCUGUGAGUCCCACAGAACUUUGAAUGAGCUGCUGAAAGGAAGCAGGAGCCGGCCGGCCUGAAAUCCCUCCGGAGUAGAGAGGUGAGCUGUGGGAAACAUGGGAAAUCAAGCGUCUUCCCCAGAGAGACAUAUAUGAGCUUAUGAAAACUCUCCUUCAAAAGCAUGGAAAGAAUGUUUCUGGGCACGAUCUCAAGCUGAUGCUUAAAUGGGUACAAGUGAAAAUACCCACUGUAACUGCAUCUACCAUUUUUACGUGGGAACUUUGGGAUGACGUGGGGGUGAAACUGUGGGAUGCGGUAACAAUGGGGAACGCCGAAGCACAGCGCAUGCUCCCGUGGUGGAGAAGCAUUUUUGAGACUUUGAAGGCCCAGGAAAAAAGUCGCAAAGACAAAGCAGAGAGGGAAGGAGACUCUCCUGCUGUACCUCCACUGUUAUCGGUGGGUCAAAAACCCACCACGCUUUUGGAAGUGUGUGCCGCAGGGUACCCCCCAGAAGAGGACCCCUUUGAUUUGGGGCCGAUGGACCCUGCAAAGGAGCCAGACCUCUACCCCCCUGACCCACAUGAUGUGUGGGCUAACAUAAGGCGCCAAGCCUUGAAGGAGGGAGAGCUGGAAAUUGCUAGAACAAUAGUGGCCCCUGUGAUUUAUCAGGGUCGGAGGGCACAGUGGGAAGCUUUAUCUUUUCCGGUAGUUAAGGAGUUGCGCCGUACUGUUACUGAGCAUGGACUUUCUUCCCCGUAUUUUGCAAGCUUAUUAUCUUCUGGUUUUGACACUUAAGUUAUGACUCCGCAUGAUUUAAAAUCUUUAGCACAACUGUUGCUGACUCCGACACAGUACACUUUAUGGGAAACGCAUUGGAGGGGGCGGCUUCAAGCACUUCUCGUGACUUACGUAGGUCACAGCAAUGCAGCUAUAGCUGUGCUGACUAUAGAACACCUUACAGGCACGGGCCAGCACUCUGAUCCAGUAGCUCAGGCUCGCGAUAUCCCACGGGAAGCUCUUGAAGCAACUUGUGAAGAAGUGAAAAAAGCCUUUUUUAAGGUCUCUGACUUAAAGGCCACAAAAAGCCUUCACUAUGAUAACCCAGGAACCCCGAGAACCUUAUAUGCAGUUUAUUGAUAGAUUGAAACAGGCUUUAGAGCGUCAGAUAGAUAAUACAGAGGCGCAGGAAAUUUUGUUGUUGAAACUGGCCGUUGAAAAUGCUAAUGUGGAUUGCAAAAAGCUAUUGAAAUCUCUCCCAAAUCCGAACCCCAUACUGGUUGAAAUGGUAGAAGCUUGUAAUAGAAUUGGUACUGUAGAUCAUAAAUUUGAAGCUAUGGCCGCUGCUUUCGCAGCCAUGCGUGGCUCGGUGGGGCCAGGGAAUUGUUAUGGUUGCAGUAAACCUGGUCAUCUAAAAAGAAACUGUUUAGCUGCCCACACUGGUGCCAGGCCCCAGGCUCCUGGGGUUUGCCCUAGACGCUGAAAAGGGUGCCGUUAUGCUAAUCAAUGUCGGUCUAAGUGUGAUUUCCAAGGUCAACCGAUACAGGGAAACCGAUCACGGAGCACGGGGCGGCGACGCGCGCAGACACAAGUACCGCAGCCGACGUUCCACCCCCCACGGAGGGAAGCAGCAGUGCCUCAAGUCUUCACCCAGCAAUAGCAGGCAGCGCUGGAUUGGACCUGGCAACCUCCCACACAGUAACGUUACUUGAUCCUUCAGUUCAUUUAUUGUCAACAAAUAUCACAGGGCCCUUACCCCCUAAAACACAAGCGUUAUUGUUAGGAAGAUCAUCCACAACAUUGUCAGGUCUUUUUGUACUACCAGGGGUCAUUGACUCUGACAGUACUGAUGAAAUUAAGAUUAUGGCACGGACCCCAUUUCCCCUUGCACAGUACCAAAAGGCAGCCGUAUAGCACAACUGAUAUUGAUUCCCACAGGGAUGGGCUCCCCAGUUCCUAGCCAGCCUCAACAAAGACGGGAAGGGUUUGGAUCUACAGGGAACUCACAAAUUUUAUGGGUGCAGUCUGUUUCUCAGAAGCGACCUGUAUGUCAAUGUACCCUUAUCCGCGGGAAACAGCAAGUUGUGUUAAAUGGAAUUAUUGAUACUGGAGCUGAUGUUAUGGUAAUAUCUCAGGCUAAAUGGCCACCACAAUGGCCUCUGGCUAAUGUUUCCCAAGCACUGGCAGGAACUGGAGGAACUGGUAGCAGCCACCAGAGUUUGGAACUAAUCCAAAUUCAAGGUCCGGAAGGGCAUAUAGCCUCUGUCAAACCUUUUGUGUUGCCAGUUCCUAUGAUUCUAUGGGGGCGUGAUGUGUUGUCUCAGUGGGGAAUGUCCAUUCGGACCCAUUUUUAGGUGGGGCCAUUGAAGUGCGCGACACCCUAAAAUUGACAUGGAAAACUGAUGCUCCUAUUUGGGUAGAUCAAUGGCCCCUACCACUGGAAAAGCUUCGCUCUCUCCAAGAAUUAGUUACGGAACAGUUAAUGAAAGGGCAUAUUGUGCCUUCUACCAGUCCUUGGAACUCACACAAACUGGCAAGUGGCACUUGCUCCAUGACCUUAGGAAAAUUAAUGACGCUAUGGAAGACAUGGGAGCCCUCCAACCAGGACUCCCGUCCCCCACUAUGAUUCCUCGAAAUUGGCAUUUGACUGUUAUUGACCUUAAAGACUGUUUUUUUAAUAUCCCGCUGCAUCCAGAUGAUGCCCCUAAAUUCGCCUUUUCGGUUCCAAGCGUCAACAUGCAAGCUCCGUUGCAAAGAUACCAGUGGGUUGUGCUGCCACAAGGAAUGAAGAAUAGCCCCACAAUAUGUCAGUGGUAUGUAGCUAAAGUACUUAGUCCGGUUAGGAUCGUAAUGCCUGGUGUCCUAUUGUAUCAUUAUAUGGAUGAUAUUCUAGUGGCCGCACAACAUCACGAGGUCAUGGAGGAAGCUGUGGCCCUUGUCACGGCUGCUGUUAACUCGGCAGGCCUCUGUAUUGCGCCAGAGAAAAUUCAGAAAAUACCGCCAUGGAAGUGCUUAGGUUGGCGCAUAAGGGCUCAAACUAUAGUUCCCCAGCCCUUACAAAUACAGACAGACAUAAGAAACUUGCAUGAUGUACAGAGAUUGUUGGGAACAAUUAAUUGGGUCCGACCGCUGGUAGGAAUUACUAAUACAGACUUAAAGCCUUUAUUUGAACUGCUAAAAGGAAGCACUGAUUUAUGUGCACCUCGCAGCCUCGGACCAGAAGCUAUUGACUCCUUACAGAAAGUUGCCACAGCAUUUACUCAUAGGCAAGCGCAUCGUUGGGCCCCUGAGUUGUCUUUUUAUCUUAUUAUUCUGAAUCCUGCCCAACAACUGUGUACUCAAAAACCCCACGCACUAAUAUUUCAAUGGGACUCACAGAAAUCAGCCCCACUGUUGAUUAUUGAAUGGGUUUUCUUGCCAAAUCAAUCUACAAAAACUAUCCUCACACAACAUGAGAUGUUUGCUUCUUUAAUAAUUAGAGCCAGACAAUGCUUGUUAACCUUAUCAGGAGCAGAUUUUGCUUGUAUCUGCUUACCUGUAACCACUUUAUAUUUACAGUGGCUUUAUCAGCAGUCAGAUGCCUUUUGCACUGCCUUAGCUGAUUACAUGGGUCAACUCACAUCCCACCCACCUUUACAUAAACUGCUUAAUGUUGACUUCCACCUCAUCUCUAUAUCGAAAAGAAGCUACCAGCCAUUACAAGCCCUUACUGUGUUUACAGAUGGGUUUGGGAAGUCACACAAAUCAGUUAUCCUAUGGUGGGACAACCAGCAGGGCAAUGGAACUCAGACAUAGAGACCGUCUCCGGUUCUCCUCAGAUAGUGGAACUGACUGCGGUUGUUCGAGUUUUUCGAAGGUGGUCCACACCACUUAACAUUAUUACUGACUCAGCUUAUGUUGCAGGAAUUGUUGAACGAGCUGAAGCAUCUGUAUUAUGUGAUGUUUUGCAUUCUGACUUAUUUGUUUUAUUGCAGGAGCUUAUUUUUCUUUUGGACUCGCGUUCUCAUCCUUACUUUGUUAUGCAUGUCAGAUCACACACUUCUCUACCUGGCUUUAUUGCAGAAGGGAACCGACGAGCUGAUUUGCUGACAUUACCAGUGCAAGUAUUACCGGAUCGCAUAGCGCAAGCUGAACUUAGCCAUUCCUUUUUUCACCAGAAUGCUGGAGGUCUCAAACGACAGUUUGGCCUUACUUCCCAACAAGCGGCUAAUGUUAUUGCUGUAUGUCCCGACUGUCAGAAACACUCAUUUCCGUCAAUAGCAGGAGGAGUUAAUCCUAGAGGACUGCAGAGCUUACAGUUACGGCAAAUGGACAUUACGCAUUAUCCGGAGUUUGGUAAAUUGAAAUAUGUCCAUUCCUCUAUUGACACCUUUUCAGGUGCUUUGUUGGCUGCUUGUCACACAGGGGAGAAGACACGUGAUGUUCAAAAACAUUUGAUGCGUGCUUUUGCCACCUUGGGUAUACCCUCUCAAAUAAAAACAGAUAAUGGCCCUGCGUAUGUCUCGGCUGCUAUAAAAACCUUUCUUGACUCCUGGGGUGUGACCCACAUUACUGGCAUCCCUCAUUCCCCUACAGGUCAGUCCCUGAUUGAACGCUCUCAUCAGGCUUUGAAACGUUUAUUACAACAACAGAAAGGGGGAGUGGGGACUGCCACCCCUGAGGAACGUCUACAGAAAGCUUUGUAUGUUUUUAACUUUUUAAAUUGUUCUUUGUUAGAUAGCAACCCUCCGAUAGUCCGACAUUUUAAUACGAAUGCUUCACUUGAGGUGCGAGUUAAGGCCCCAGUAUUGGUUUGUGAUCCAGAAACAGGUAAAGUAAUGGGACCGUAUCCCCUUAUCACAUGGGGCAGAGGCUAUGUUUGUGUUUCCACAGAGAAAGGCCCUCGAUGGAUUCCGGCAAAGAGUGUACAACCCUUCCGUGAAUCCCUACCACAAUCAUCCAGAGAGAACUCCGAUCACCCUCCAGACCAGCCUUUCGAGCAACAAACUGGUGAAUCUCCUGAGGACACUGGUGUGACGGUUGCUUAGAAAAGGAAGUUGAUGUAGCUGAAGUUUUGCUUGUCACAGGACACAAACCAUUGGGGAGUAGUUGUUAUUUACAUGACUGUAUAGAUUGGGCCUAUUUAGUGUCCAAAAGGGUGGAGGAGGUGUUAGUUUGUGAUCUAGAGUGUAGUAAAACAAACCCGGUGCCCGAUAUAUGGGCUGUUCUUAAACAAGAUUGGGAUCAGACGAAAGAAAUGCAGAAAACAAUUUGCAUGGAAACUAAAGAAAGGCAGAAAGUUGCUUUUAGAAUAAUAUUUCUUUCUAUGAUUACGCUAGAGGUUGCGCGAAGCCACCCGCUCUUAUCUGUACUACCCCAGGUUAACGUGUGGGUAACGCUAGCAAAUCUCACGGGACAAGACACCUUGUGUCUCGCUACUGCCUCUCCUAAUAAUCCCUUUUCUACAUGCCUUGUAGGAUUGCCAUUGGAUAAAUGGCCCAUACCUGAUAAGGUGGGAAAAGCCUUUCCAACCUUGGCCCCCAAUUUAACCAAUAACUGGGAUGCCUGGACCCCUUUUCUCCCGCAUGCUGCUUUAGAGCCACAAGAAAUUGAGUUGCUUGGAUCAAUAAAGGUGGAUUUCUGUGUUAGGUUUAACUAUACAGGAACAAACCAGUCUAAGGUAUGGGAUGUCUCUCCUGUCCAUCCCGUUUUUAAAAAUGCUACUACUUGGUGUAAUUAUACAGCAACGAACUUGUCUAGAUCUAGCAAUGCUCCGCUUUUAUUACCAUCAGGGAUAUUUCUUAUUUGCGGGGAUAGAGCAUGGCCUGUUAACCCUUCUCAUAUAAGAGGAGGUCCGUGUAGCCUUGGGACGCCUUUCUGUCCUGACUCCUAAUACAUCCAUGAUUUUACAACACUGUCUUUCUCACGGAACAAAGCGUAGCAUCCAUGCAUAUACCCCCGAUUGUGAUGAUAACGUGAAGUUUUGGUCUUUUAGCCAACGCGUUGUCGCCUCUCUUUUAACAGCUGGAGCUGCCGCUGCAAAAGCACUAGCAACAUUAGAUAAGCUUGGCUGCUGGCUUGCUAAACAAACGAACGCUACUAGCAAUGCAUUGUCUGGUCUUUUCUUAGAUGUACAUAGUGUUCACCAUGCUACGUUACAAAAUAGAGCUGCUAUAGAUUUUUUGCUUUUAGCGCAAGGCCACGGUUGUGAGGAUUUUGAGGGCAUGUGUUGUAUGAAUCUCUCUGACCACUCGGAAUCAAUUCAUGCUAGUAUUCAACAGCUUAAAGCUGGGGUCUCUAAGCUUCAACAAAAUGAUAUUUGGGAUUGGUUAGAUAGGCUUUUUGAAGGAUGUGGAUUGUCAGGAUGGUUAAGGAGUCUUGUGAAGUUGGUUGUAUAUGUUUUGGCAGUUUUUAUUCUCCUGUUACUAUUCUUGCCUUGUUUGUUGCAAUGCCUACAAAAAUUGAUUUCGCGUUUUAUGAAAAGAGUUCUUUGUCGUGGUUGAGACGGACAAGCGACAUGGACCAAGUUCUUUCAAGAUGAAAGUAAUGGAUGCCAUUUAUUGCUACAAGUGCAUUUUUAUACAAUUCUACCAGUUCAUGUGUCUUUUCACUAUUGGUUACAAGUUACAGCACUAACAUUUCGUUGGUUAAUUUUCCUAUCAUCCAUGUUAUUCUUCUAUCCCCUUCUUUCUCACGGGUACAUCUCUCCUCUCUCCGGAUACUCCUUUACUCCCAUCCUUCUCAAGGGUAAAUCUUAAUAUCUCAAGGCUGAU